rnacentral:rRNA from 1 species
CCUACGGGAGGCAGCAGUGAGGAAUAUUGGUCAAUGGACGAGAGUCUGAACCAGCCAAGUAGCGUGAAGGAUGUCUGCCCUAUGGGUUGUAAACUUCUUUUAUAUGGGAAUAAAAUGUUCCACGUGUGGGAUUUUGUAUGUACCAUAUGAAUAAGGAUCGGCUAACUCCGUGCCAGCAGCCGCGGUAAUACGGAGGAUCCGAGCGUUAUCCGGAUUUAUUGGGUUUAAAGGGAGCGUAGGUGGAUUGUUAAGUCAGUUGUGAAAGUUUGCGGCUCAACCGUAAAAUUGCAGUUGAAACUGGCAGUCUUGAGUACAGUAGAGGUGGGCGGAAUUCGUGGUGUAGCGGUGAAAUGCUUAGAUAUCACGAAGAACUCCGAUUGCGAAGGCAGUUCACUGGACUGCAACUGACACUGAGGCUCGAAAGUGUGGGUAUCAAACAGGAUUAGAUACCCCUGUAGUC